rnacentral:tRNA from 1 species
GACCGGGUAGCUCAACGGUAGAGCAUCGGCCUUUUAAGCCGCUGGUUCUGGGUUCGAAUCCCAGCCUGGUCA